GAGUUUGAUCCUGGCUCAGAGUGAACGCUGGCGGCAUGCCUAACACAUGCAAGUCGCACGAGAACGCUUGGUGUUAAUACCACCAUGUACUGACGGUACCACUGAAGGAAGCACCGGCUAACUCCGUGCCAGCAGCCGCGGUAAUACGGGGGGUGCUAGCGUUACUCGGAAUUACUGGGCGUAAAGCGCGCGUAGGCGGUCCUUUAAGUCAGAUGUGAAAGCCCGGGGCUCAACCCCGGAAGUGCAUUUGAAACUAAGGGACUUGAGUAUGGGAGAGGGAAGUGGAAUUCCUGGUGUAGCGGUGAAAUGCGUAGAUAUCAGGAGGAACACCGGUGGCGAAGGCGACUUCCUGGACCAAUACUGACGCUCAGGCGCGAAGGCGUGGGGAGCAAACAGGAUUAGAUACCCUGGUAGUC
rnacentral:rRNA from 1 species